GCCCCUGGAAGAAGAGGACUGCUUA
rnacentral:piRNA from 1 species